rnacentral:rRNA from 1 species
UGAACGCUGGCGGCGUGCCUAAUACAUGCAAAUCGAGCGAACAGACGAGGAGCUUGCUCCUCUGACGUUAGCGGCGGACGGGUGAGUAACACGUGGAUAACCUACCUAUAAGACUGGGAUAACUUCGGGAAACCGGAGCUAAUACCGGAUAAUAUAUUGAACCGCAUGGUUCAAUAGUGAAAGACGGUUUUGCUGUCACUUAUAGAUGGAUCCGCGCCGCAUUAGCUAGUUGGUAAGGUAACGGCUUACCAAGGCAACGAUGCGUAGCCGACCUGAGAGGGUGAUCGGCCACACUGGAACUGAGACACGGUCCAGACUCCUACGGGAGGCAGCAGUAGGGAAUCUUCCGCAAUGGGCGAAAGCCUGACGGAGCAACGCCGCGUGAGUGAUGAAGGUCCUCGGAUCGUAAAACUCUGUUAUUAGGGAAGAACAAAUGUGUAAGUAACUAUGCACGUCUUGACGGUACCUAAUCAGAAAGCCACGGCUAACUACGUG